rnacentral:rRNA from 1 species
GACGAAUGCUGGCUGCGUGCUUAACACAUGCAAGUCGAACGGUGAAAGGGAGCUUGCUCCCUGGAUCAGUGGCGAACGGGUGAGUAACACGUGGGCAACCUGCCCCUCACUCUGGGAUAACUCCGGGAAACCGGGGCUAAUACCGGAUACGACCUGGUGCGACAUCGCACCGGGUGGAAAGAACUUCGGUGAGGGAUGGGCCCGCGGCCUAUCAGCUUGUUGGUGGGGUAACGGCCCACCAAGGCGGCGACGGGUAGCCGGCCUGAGAGGGCGACCGGCCACACUGGGACUGAGACACGGCCCAGACUCCUAGGGGAGGCAGCAGUGGGGAAUAUUGCACAAUGGGCGCAAGCCUGAUGCAGCGACGCCGCGUGAGGGAUGACGGCCUUCGGGUUGUAAACCUCUUUCAGCAGGGACGAAGCGCAAGUGACGGUACCUGCAGAAGAAGGACCGGCCAACUACGUGCCAGCCGCCGCAGUAAGAC